rnacentral:rRNA from 1 species
UACAGAGGUCUCAAGCGUUGUUCGGAUUCAUUGGGCGUAAAGGGUGCGUAGGCGGCGCGGUAAGUCGGGUGUGAAAUCUCGGGGCUUAACUCCGAAACUGCAUUCGAUACUGCCGUGCUUGAGGACUGGAGAGGAGACUGGAAUUUACGGUGUAGCGGUGAAAUGCGUAGAUAUCGGGAGGAACACCAGUGGCGAAGGCGACUACCUGGCCUGUUCUUGACGCUGAGGCGCGAAAGCUGGGGGAGCAAACGGG